CCUUGAAAAAGGGAGUUCAAGAAGAGCUUCGAAGAAGCUUUCUUGGUGGAGGGGAGUGGCAGACGGGUGAGUAACGCGUGGGAACAUACCCUUAUCUUCGGAACAACUCCGGGAAACUGGAGCUAAUACCGAAUGUGCCCUUAGGGGGAAAGAUUUAUCGGAUAAGGAUUGGCCCGCGUUGGAUUAGCUAGUUGGUGGGGUAAAGGCCUACCAAAGCUACGAUCCAUAGCUGGUCUGAGAGGAUGAUCGGCCACAUUGGGACUGAGACACGGCCCAAACUCCUACGGGAGGCAGCAGUGGGGAAUAUUGGACAGUGGGCGCAAGCCUGAUCCAGCCAUGCCGCGUGAGUGAUGAAGGCCUUAGGGUUGUAAAGCUCUUUCACCGGAGAAGAUAAUGACGGUAUCCGGAGAAGAAGCCCCGGCUAACUUCGUGCCAGCCGCCGCAGUAAGAC
rnacentral:rRNA from 1 species